UAAAGAUACAAUAAGCCUGAUAAUUACAAGGAAGAAUAGGCAAGAGAGAGUGAGCAAACUAUACCUCAAGUUUGGAGCUUCAUAUCCUGCACGAUCAAGCCAGACAAGUAAGAUUACAGGUGAUAAUAAAAGAACACUUUGUAGUUAUCAUCUGAUGUAAAUGACACCCAAUCACCAAAAGUAGUACCAAAAAGCAACCAAAAUAUAAAAUUAAAAAUAUUUACAGAAUCAAAAGACGAAAUCCCAAAAUUUAUGGACAAGAAUACUGUCAAGAGAAUUGAUUUGUAAACAAUUAAUUACUGAACCCAAAACAACGGAGAAAAGAAGGCAAAAGAAAACAGACUGCACAAACAAUUUGAUCACAGAAUAAUUGAACAAAAUAGAGGAAACAAAUAGAAGGAAAACAACAAUCAGGGCUAUCAUCACCAAAACUAAGGCCAACCCACAAAAAACGAUCACGAAAAUGACCAGAAAGAAUCACCAAGCAAUCAUAUUGAACUAAAAUAGAAAACCAACAAUUAAAAUAGAAAGAUGAUUGAUGAUAAUGAAGCAAUAGAAGAAAUGACAGUACCAAAAACGUCAGAGACAAGAAGA
rnacentral:misc_RNA from 1 species